GACGAACGCUGGCGGCGUGCCUAAUACAUGCAAGUCGAGCGGACUGAUUAAGAGCUUGCUCUUAUGACGUUAGCGGCGGACGGGUGAGUAACACGUGGGCAACCUGCCCUGUAGAUCGGGAUAACACCGAGAAAUCGGUGCUAAUACCGGAUAAUAUCUGUGAUCACAUGAUCUUAGGUUAAAAGAUGGCUCCGGCUAUCACUACAGGAUGGGCCCGCGGCGCAUUAGCUAGUUGGUAAGGUAAUGGCUUACCAAGGCGACGAUGCGUAGCCGCCCUGAGAGGGUGAUCGGCCAAACUGGGACUGAGACACGGCCCAGACUCCAACGGGAGGCAGCAGUAGGGAAUCUUCCGCAAAGGACGAAAGUCUGACGGAGCAACGCCGCGGGAGUGAUGAAGGGUUUCGGCUCGUAAAGCUCUUUUGUUAGGGAAGAAACAGUACCGAACGAACUAGGUCGGUACCUUGACGGUACCUAACCAGAAAGCCACGGCUAACUACGUG
rnacentral:rRNA from 1 species